rnacentral:tRNA from 1 species
ACCUGGGUGGCUCAGUCGGUUGAGCUUCUGACUUCAGCUCAGGUCAUGAUCUCAUGGUUCGUGGGUUCAAGCCCCACAUUGGGCU